UAGGGAAUCUUCCACAAUGGGCGGCAAGCCUGAUGGAGCAACACCGCGUGAGUGAAGAAGGGUUUCGGCUCGUAAAGCUCUGUUGUUAAAGAAGAACACGUAUGAGAGUAACUGUUCAUACGUUGACGGUAUUUAACCAGAAAGUCACGGCUAACUACGUGCCAA
rnacentral:rRNA from 1 species